rnacentral:rRNA from 1 species
CCCUGGCUCAGGACGAACGCGGGCGGCGUGCCUAAUACAUGCAAGUCGAGCGGACCGACGGGAGCUUGCUCCCUUAGGUCAGCGGCGGACGGGUGAGUAACACGUGGGUAACCUGCCUGUAAGACUGGGAUAACUCCGGGAAACCGGGGCUAAUACCGGAUGCUUGAUUGAACCGCAUGGUUCAAUCAUAAAAGGUGGCUUUUAGCUACCACUUACAGAUGGACCCGCGGCGCAUUAGCUAGUUGGUGAGGUAACGGCUCACCAAGGCGACGAUGCGUAGCCGACCUGAGAGGGUGAUCGGCCACACUGGGACUGAGACACGGCCCAGACUCCUACGGGAGGCAGCAGUAGGGAAUCUUCCGCAAUGGACGAAAGUCUGACGGAGCAACGCCGCGUGAGUGAUGAAGGUUUUCGGAUCGUAAAACUCUGUUGUUAGGGAAGAACAAGUACCGUUCGAAUAGGGCGGCACCUUGACGGUACCUAACCAGAAAGCCACGGCUAA